CCACGCGCCCGAGUUGUUGAAGGGUUCAUACCCAGAUCUCUCUUUUAAAACAGGCUCCCUGGCUGGAUGCGGUGGCUCCCACCUGUAAUCCCAGCACUUUGAGAGGCCAAAGCAGGUGGAUCAGUGGAGGUCUGGAGUUCGAGACCAGCCUGGCCAGCAUGGCGAAACCCCAUCUCUACCAAAACACAAAAAUUAGCCAGGCCUGGUGGCAGGGGCCUGUAAUCCCAGCUACUCAGGAGGCUAAGGCAGGAGAAUUGCUGAAACCCAGGAGGCAGAGGUUGCAGUGAGGAGAGAUCACACUCCAGCCUGGGCGACAGAGCAAGACUCUGUCUCAAAAAUUAAAUUUAAAAUAAAAUAAAAUAAAUAAAUAAUAAAAAAAUAAAAUGAAACAGGCUCUGAGGCAGCCCUCCCAGCCCUUCUCCCACCCUCCUGCAGGCGCGGCUGGAACCUGAACCCUCGCACAGAUCAGGGAAGGGCAGGGCCGCCAGGUGGAGCUGUGGCAAACGUGCCCUCCCAGCUUUCCACAUGCUGGGGUUUCAUAAACCAGGAGCGCCUCAGCGAAACUCCACGGGGAGGACACAGGGCUG
rnacentral:lncRNA from 1 species